rnacentral:rRNA from 1 species
AGUGAACGCUGGCGGUAGGCCUAACACAUGCAAGUCGAACGGCAGCACAGUAAGAGCUUGCUCUUACGGGUGGCGAGUGGCGGACGGGUGAGGAAUACAUCGGAAUCUACUUUUUCGUGGGGGAAACGUAGGGAAACUUACGCUAAUACCGCAUACGACCUACGGGUGAAAGCAGGGGAUCUUCGGACCUUGCGCGAUUGAAUGAGCCGAUGUCGGAUUAGCUAGUUGGCGGGGUAAAGGCCCACCAAGGCGACGAUCCGUAGCUGGUCUGAGAGGAUGAUCAGCCACACUGGAACUGAGACACGGUCCAGACUCCUACGGGAGGCAGCAGUGGGGAAUAUUGGACAAUGGGCGCAAGCCUGAUCCAGCCAUACCGCGUGGGUGAAGAAGGCCUUCGGGUUGUAAAGCCCUUUUGUUGGGAAAGAAAAGCAGCAGGUUAAUACCCCGCUGUUCUGACGGUACCCAAAGAAUAAGCACCGGCUAACUUCGUG